GACUCGGUGGCGACACGGUAGCGCGUCUGACUCCAGAUCAGAAGGUUGCGUGUUCGAAUCACGUCCGGGUCA
rnacentral:tRNA from 1 species